rnacentral:rRNA from 1 species
GAGUUUGAUCCUGGCUCAGGAUGAACGCUGGCGGCGUGCCUAAUACAUGCAAGUCGAGCGAACGGACGAGAAGCUUGCUUCUCUGAUGUUAGCGGCGGACGGGUGAGUAACACGUGGAUAACCUACCUAUAAGACUGGGAUAACUUCGGGAAACCGGAGCUAAUACCGGAUAAUAUUUUGAACCGCAUGGUUCAAAAGUGAAAGACGGUCUUGCUGUCACUUAUAGAUGGAUCCGCGCUGCAUUAGCUAGUUGGUAAGGUAACGGCUUACCAAGGCAACGAUGCAUAGCCGACCUGAGAGGGUGAUCGGCCACACUGGAACUGAGACACGGUCCAGACUCCUACGGGAGGCAGCAGUAGGGAAUCUUCCGCAAUGGGCGAAAGCCUGACGGAGCAACGCCGCGUGAGUGAUGAAGGUCUUCGGAUCGUAAAACUCUGUUAUUAGGGAAGAACAUAUGUGUAAGUAACUGUGCACAUCUUGACGGUACCUAAUCAGAAAG